CCCGAGGUGGUGUAAUUGGUUCAGCAUUCCAACCUUGACGAGGGGAGGGAUCCGGGUUCGAAUCCCGGCCUCGGGG
rnacentral:tRNA from 2 species